UCUGCGGUCUCUGCGGUCGUUGCGAUUUCUGCGGCCUCUGCGGUCCCUGCGUCUCUGCGUUCUCUGCGGUCUCUGCAGCCUCUGCGGUCCCUGCGGUCCCUGCGGUUCCUGCACGUCCCUGUCCGUCCCUGCCCGUCCCUGCCCUGCCCAACUCUGUCCGUCCCCUCUGCCUCCACCACCAUCGGGGUUCUGGGGCCUCGGAUGAAUCAUGCGGCAAAGUGCUCCCCCACGGCCUCCAGCGCCCGUGCUGAGUCGCGUAGCCUGGACAGGAGGGGAAACUGAGAGCCGCAGCGCUGGGGGCGAACCCACCGCGGCCCGGUCUCCGUGGGCCUCCCGGCCCCGGCGGGCCCCGGGGAAGGGUCCGCUGAGCGGUCCGCGGGGCAGACGUGGGCCCCCGCCCGUGGUGAGAGCCGGGCGCCGCCCGUGUGACCCGGCCGGGGUUGUCACACCCCCGCCACCUCUGCGGCGUUGAAUCCCGCAAGCCGCUGUCUGAGUUCGCUCGCCGCCCACCCAGCAGCGCCUUCGAGGCUCUGUUACGGACCAGCCCGGCGCCGCGCCCCCUGCUCGCCCACCACAACGACCGGGACGGAGCUCCCGGGACCGUCAGGUUGGCGUUGAGGAGCACUCAGCGAGCGGACAGCGCGCCCUCUCUCCUGCAGGGGCCUCGGCCCGCUGCCUGACGCCCCCCUGUGCCCGGGGCGGGGGGCCGCCCGUGGGUAAGCCGCCAUGGGGUGCGGGCACAGAAGCCUCGAGUGCGCCUUGUUUUGCGGGUUUGCGGGGCACCCACAGUGUCCAGGACGCAGCAGGGCCAGAGAGAUGGCACAGUGGGAAGGGUGCUUGUCUUGCAUGCAGCCAACCCCGGUUUGAUUCCUGGCAUCCCAGAUGGCCCCCUGAGCACUGCCAGGAGUGACUCCGGAGGAAGGCCUGAGCACCACUGGGUGUGACCCAUCCUCCCCUCCCCCACCACACCCACACACAAACAGGCCCACAGCCUGGCCAGUAGCCAGCCUUCCACGGUGCUGGGGGAAAGUUCAGCCUGAAGAGAACCAAGGAGACAGCAUCGCCAUCCGCCGUCCCAGGGCGCGGCUCGGCCUGCUGCGGAGCGUCGGACAGGACCCCCGGGUGCCGGGCCCCGGAAGAGGUGCCUUGAGGUGUUCCUGGCCUGUUGCCCACCCCCGCCGCCACCGCCGCCCUGCCUGCUUGCCGCGCCCUUCCUGAAUUCCAUUCUGCCCAAGUCACAGCUUCAGAGUCGCCGCCUUUUCCUCCGACUUUGCACGCGGGAUGGCCCGCGAAGCCCUCUCGGCCGCAGAUGACCUCUCGUUUCGCUCCUGGCUUGGGGGCAAGCGGUGACGUGAGCCUGGUGGGUGCCUCUGCACAGCCCCCAGUGGCGAGGCAGCUCGGCACCACACCGGACCCCAUCGUGGGUGCAUGCUGGCCAUGUUGGGCCCCGGGGACAGAGCCCCCUGUUCGCCACAGAGAUGGCUGCUCGUCUCAGCAAUGUCACCAUCCUGUCUCCGUCCUCCCAAGAAGCAGCCAAAAUGCAGUGCUCCCAGCUGGGGUGCUCCCUGAGGGGGUCUGGGGUGUUCUUCCCCAGUGCACGCUCCUCUCCUAGGUCAGAUGCAGACUGGGAAAAUGAUAGAAUCCAGGUGAAAGGGCUCCACCCUGUCCCCCGUGCCCCUGUAUUACUCCCUAGGGGGCCUUAGAGUAUGGCCUGUGUAUCCCCCGCUCUGUGCCUGCUUCUUGAGAGCUUUGGGAAGCCCCUUUGCAGAUGGACAUAUUGGCAGGAAAACAUCUUUGUCAAAGCAGAAGGGGGCUUGUUUGUUUGUUUGUUUGUUUGUUUGUUUGGGCCACACCUGGGGGUACUCAGGAGUUACUCCUAAUUCAGUGCUCAUGGAUCGCACUCAGGGAACCAUGUGGUUCCAAAGAUCAAACCUGGGCCUCUCUUGGGGCUGGAGUGAUAGCAUAGCGGGGAGGGUGUUUGCUUUGCACUCGGCCCACCCGGGUUCUAUUCCCAGCAUCCCAUAUGGUCCCCCGAGCACCGCCAGGAGUAAUUCCUGAGUGCGUGAGCCAAGAGUAACCUCUGAGCAUCGCCGGGGGUGACCCAAAAAGCAAAAAAACAAAAACAAAAACAAAAAGCAAACAAACAAAAAAAACCUUAAAAACAAAACAAAACAGGGCCUCUUGCAUGCAAAACCUUUGCACCGUCCUUUUGAGCCAUCUCCUUCGCAUGUGGCUUGGUUCGGUAUGAGGGCCACUGAGGCCUGUAUUCGGAGGGCACCUUCUUAGCAGUGCUCAGGGCACCAUAUACAUUGCCAGAGAGAGAGCCGGGGGUUGACAGUGUGCGCGGCCCCUGCUUGGCCUACUGCACUAUCCCCGAAGCCCCUCCUCUUCCUUUGAAAAGCAGAGCUUUGCCUGGGGUGACUGUGCGGCUCUCAGGCCCCGCAGGAGUGUGUCUUUGAUUCCGGCAGGGGGAGCCAGGGGGGCUUUUGUGGGAAGGAAUGACCCCUGCUAAGUAAGGCCCUUUGCCCACUGGCUGGUUUCCCCCACACUCGCCCUUUUCCCGCUGGCCUCGGCCUCACUCCCCUUUCCGGCUGACCUGCAUUCCAAAGUGGUCAGAGCUGCCUGUGCUCUGGUCACGGACGACGCAGGGAGAGGAAUCGGUGAAAGCAGUUUCCCGUGCCUGGAGGGUCCGUUCCCGUCCCUCGCAGGCGCUGGCACCUUCACACACGGCUUGCUCCGCUGCGGCCAUUGCUUUUUGCUCUGCAGCACGGGUGGGGCACGGCUUAGCUGGGCCGCUUAGCUAGUGGAGACCAGACUCCCGCUGCAUCGAGGGUUAGACACUUUAGGAGCUGACGGAGCCCGGAUGAGUCUGGCAGCAUGAGUGAGUUGGAUGGCUGGGGGGCGGGGGGGCCCCCGGAGGGAUGUUUAUAGGGAUCCCGCCCCACCCUGGGAGAUUUUCUAAGGGUGCUGACAUUUUGGAGGUGGUGCCCCUGGGCGGGCGCUGGGAGGAAGCGAGUACAAAGGGCAGCAGCAGCGUGUGGGAGACUCGGGAGUGGGGUGAGCGUGAGUUAUUUGGGGAGACCUGUGCGAGGCCAUCUGCUGAGGUGGGGGGGGUUUCUCUCCCAACAGGGGCAGGCCUCCAGAGAAGGCCUCCAGCGGGCUCUCUGCCAGUCACUACUCUGCCCUGCUCUGACAAGACCCAUCUUAGAUUUUUGAUGCCAGUUUUCAUUCGCCGCUUCUCCGUGAUGAUCGAGAUUCUUUACUUAGCUCUGUGUGUCUUAUUUUGGGGGACCACGCACGUCGGUGCCGGGGAUCAAACCCAGACCCUCUGUGUGCAGGGUUUGGCUGGUCACGGAUCCUCUGUGUGCAGGGCGUGCCCUCACUUAGCCCUUGCUGCCCCCGCUGGCUGAGAUGGUUCGAUGAGCUGCUUCGAAGGGCAGAAAGGGCAGCCGCUCCCGACCUAACUGCGGGCAUUCUCAUGGAUGUCACCCUCAAGGACGAUGAUGAAGGAACUCUGGAGACCACACUUGUUGUGACCUCCCGACCUGAAUGAAGCCUCCUCACCACUCCCGGCUGCUGCCACGGGAUGGAUGGACAGGGGGGCGCACUCAGGACAGUGAUGGGGAAGUGGCUCCCCUGAGAAGCUCCAUCUUCUCUGUGGAUUCUUGAGAAACAGGAAUGGAAGUGUGGCCUUGGGCCUGGCCAGGGCGGAUAUGGGCCAGCCUUCCCUUCAGCCUCCCCUCAAGCCCAGCCGCCAGCGCAUGGUGGCCCUUCAGCUUUUCUCUCGAGGCUGGCCACCAGAGCAUGGUGGCCCUUCAGCUGCCUGUCCAGGUUGGCUGUGAGGACAUGGCUCCCUCUCACGCCAAGUUCCUCCACAGCCAGUCCCUGUUUCCAGGGACAAAGAAGGGAGUGCCUGGGCCCAGGCCCAACAGACACUCAGGUGCUACAUCAGCUUGGGGGUGCUGACAUGGAAAUCCCAAGCUGCUGGGCUCAUUCAACGUUCUCCGUAGUUGAUUUGGGGGUCCUUUAUGCACCCCACGCGGCAGAGUGGUAUUACCACUGGACAUAGUUAUCCCUGGUGCCGCUGUACAGCACGGGUCAAGUUUUCCCUCUGUGUUCACAUGGCAAAGGGAAGGUCCUGGGUCUGCCCCUCCCAGCCCUGUCUCAGGUCUCUUCUUCCAGAUCAGAUGAUCCAAGUGUGAACCCAUUUAUCCUGGGACUCCCUCCCAACUUUCCAUCGUGUUUAUCCCAACUUUCCACUGUGUUUAUUUUAUUUGUUUGGGGGCCACAUCCAGCUACACUCAGAGAUGACUCCUGGCAGACUCUGGGGAGCAUGUAGGGUGCUGGGGAUUGAACCUGGGUUGGCCAUAUGCGAGGCAAGCACCCUGCCCUCUGUUCUAUCUCUCUGGCCCUGCCUUUGUUUCCUGUUCGAGCAAGAGUUCCUAUUGAAAUUUUCAGUGUGUGUGUGUGUGUGUGUGUGUGUGUGUGUGUGUGUGUGUGUGUGUGUGUCUUUCUCCUCUUUCCCACCCAAUAAAUCUUUGACCUGC